rnacentral:rRNA from 1 species
ACCUUUUGUAUAAUGGGUCAGCGACUUAUAUUCUGUAGCAAGGUUAACCGAAUAGGGGAGCCGAAGGGAAACCGAGUCUUAACUGGGCGUUAAGUUGCAGGGUAUAGACCCGAAACCCGGUGAUCUAGCCAUGGGCAGGUUGAAGGUUGGGUAACACUAACUGGAGGACCGAACCGACUAAUGUUGAAAAAUUAGCGGAUGACUUGUGGCUGGGGGUGAAAGGCCAAUCAAACCGGGAGAUAGCUGGUUCUCCCCGAAAGCUAUUUAGGUAGCGCCUCGUGAAUUCAUCUCCGGGGGUAGAGCACUGUUUCGGCAAGGGGGUCAUCCCGACUUACCAACCCGAUGCAAACUGCGAAUACCGGAGAAUGUUAUCACGGGAGACACACGGCGGGUGCUAACGUCCGUCGUGAAGAGGGAAACAACCCAGACCGCCAGCUAAGGUCCCAAAGUCAUGGUUAAGUGGGAAACGAUGUGGGAAGGCCCAGACAGCCAGGAUGUUGGCUUAGAAGCAGCCAUCAUUUAAAGAAAGCGUAAUAGCUCACUGGUCGAGUCGGCCUGCGCGGAAGAUGUAACGGGGCUAAAC